rnacentral:rRNA from 1 species
UACGUAGGUGACCAGCGUUGUCCGGAUUUACUGGGCGUAAAGAGCGCGCAGGCGGUCGUUCAAGUCGAGUGUGAAAGCCCCCGGCUCAACUGGGGAGGGUCAUUUGAUACUGAUCGACUCGAAGGCAGGAGAGGGAAGUGGAAUUCCCGGUGUAGUGGUGAAAUGCGUAGAUAUCGGGAGGAACACCAGUGGCGAAGGCGACUUCCUGGCCUGUUCUUGACGCUGAGGCGCGAAAGCUAGGGGAGCAAACGGG